rnacentral:rRNA from 1 species
ACGGUAUCUUACCAGAAAGGAACGGCUAAAUACGUGCCAGCAGCCGCGGUAAUACGUAUGUUCCAAGCGUUAUCCGGAUUUAUUGGGCGUAAAGCGAGCGCAGACGGUUAUUUAAGUCUGAAGUGAAAGCCCUCAGCUCAACUGAGGAAUUGCUUUGGAAACUGGAUGACUUGAGUGCAGUAGAGGAAAGUGGAACUCCAUGUGUAGCGGUGAAAUGCGUAGAUAUAUGGAAGAACACCAGUGGCGAAGGCGGCUUUCUGGACUGUAACUGACGUUGAGGCUCGAAAGUGUGGGUAGCAAACAGGAUUAGAUACCCUGGUAGUCCA